rnacentral:rRNA from 1 species
GAUAAACGCUGGCGGCGUGCUUAACACAUGCAAGUCGAACGGCGUGGCGAACGGGUGAGUAAUGCGUGAACGACCUGCCCCAUACACCGGAAUAGCUCCUGGUAACGGGUGGUAAUGCCGGUUGGUAUGGGAUGGGGUCGCGUCCUAUCAGCUUGAUGGCGGGGUAACGGCCCACCAUGGCUUCGACGGGUAGCCGGCCUGAUAGGGCGAUCGGCCACAGUGAAGCUGAGAUACGGCCCAGGCUCUUAGGGGGAGAAGCAGUGGGGAGUAUUGCGCAAUGGGCGCAAGCCUGAUGCAGCGACGCGGCGUGCGGGAUGAAGGCCUUCGGGUUGGAAACCGGUAUGGAUCGGGGGCAGGUACCCUUCGAAUAAGCAACGGCUAACUACGUGCCAGCAGCCGCGGUAAUUC